rnacentral:lncRNA from 1 species
UGUAAUACCCGGCUAGAAUCCGGCAUCGGGAUUCCUGCCUUCCGGCGGAAUCUAAGGUGUUGGAUCUCUCUAGAAGGGGUAAAAUGUGUUUUCUAAAAUGUUUUCACAUGAUUUCAUGGUUUUAAAAGGAAAGAGAAUUGAGUUUUGAAGGGAAAAGACCAAGGAGGCAAUUGCCAGNNNNNNNNNNNNUGUAUGUUCAGAUUUCAGGUUUCAUGUUAAAGUUUUUAAUCAUGUAUGGGAUUUGACCAGGUAAUAGUAUGUAUGUUUGGCUUGCUACGGGUCCCGGCGGCCUUAAGCCGAUCUGGAUCCUAGCGCCGGUGGCGGUUCGGGCCGUUACAGAGGGGUAUCGGUUUCCGGGCUGUUACAUG